rnacentral:rRNA from 1 species
UAUCAAUGCUGGGUAUUAUAUACUUAGUAAUUGGAAUGAGUACAAUUUAAAUCCCUUAACAAGUAACAAUUAGAGGGCAAGUCUGGUGCCAGCAGCCGCGGUAAUUCCAGCUCUAAUAGCGUAUAUUAAUAUUGUUGCAGUUAAAAAGCUCGUAGUUGAAAUUUGGGACUUUAUUGUAUUGGUUUACCUUUUAGUGAACUAUAUAAUGGGUUUCUUCCUACUAGAGUUCGAUUCUGUUCUUAACUGAAUGGAGUAGCUAUCUCUCGGGGUAGUCAGUUGGUUAUUAUAUCUCCACUAAUAAGCAGAGAGGAGUAAUCUUCAAAGUGAGUUAUGUGGGUCAAGGUAUGAUGAUUAAUUGGAGUUCUAGUUCAUUUACUUUGAGAAAAUUAGAGUGUUUAAAGCAGCCUCUUGGGGCACUGAAUACAUUAGCAUGGGAUAAUAAAAUAGGAUCUUCACAAUAUAUUUUAUUGGUUUAAAUUGCGUAUGAAGAUAAUGAUUAAUAG